rnacentral:rRNA from 1 species
AUGGAGGAUGGGAAGAUGGGGAACGUGGCGACGGUCCGGGCGGUGCUCGCCAUCCUCCAAUGGUGGGGCUUCAACGUCACCGUCAUCAUCAUCAACAAGUGGAUCUUCCAGAAACUGGAGUUCAAAUUCCCUCUGACCGUGUCGUGUGUCCACUUCAUAUGCUCUUCUAUUGGAGCCUAUAUCGCAAUCAAAGUGCUCAAAGUAAAACCACUCAUCGAGGUCGCCCCCGAGGAUCGCUGGAAAAGGAUAUUCCCCAUGUCAUUUGUGUUCUGCAUAAACAUAGUGUUGGGAAAUAUCAGCCUGCGGUACAUCCCGGUCUCUUUCAUGCAGACCAUAAAAUCCUUCACUCCUGCAACAACAGUUAUUCUGCAGUGGUUGGUCUGGAGGAAAUAUUUUGAGUGGCGCAUAUGGGCUUCUUUGAUUCCAAUUGUGGGUGGAAUCCUCUUAACUUCAGUAACUGAACUAAGCUUCAAUAUGUUUGGUUUUUGCGCUGCCAUGGUUGGCUGCCUUGCCACAUCUACAAAGACCAUCUUGGCAGAAUCCCUGCUCCAUGGAUACAAAUUUGACAGCAUUAACACAGUGUACUACAUGGCACCCUUUGCCACCAUGAUACUAUCGAUACCAGCGAUCGUACUCGAAGGGAGCGGCGUAAUCAACUGGCUGUACACAUACGAGUCAACCGUCCCUGCACUGGUCAUCAUAAUCACCUCGGGAGUUCUCGCCUUCUGCCUGAACUUCUCCAUCUUCUAUGUUAUCCAUUCAACGACAGCGGUGACCUUCAAUGUAGCCGGCAAUCUCAAGGUGGCUGUCGCGGUACUGAUCUCCUGGAUGAUCUUCCGGAACCCGAUCUCCGCCAUGAACGCCGUGGGGUGUGGGAUCACGCUCGUCGGCUGCACCUUCUACGGCUAUGUGAGGCAUUUGAUCUCCCAGCAGGCCGCCUCCCCAAGCCCGCGCACCCCGAGAAGCCGGUUGGAGAUGCUCCCCCUUGUAGGCGAAAAGCAAGAGAAGAUCUAG